GUGUGUUAAUCGGGUGUUUUUGGGUGUUUUUCGGUGCAUUGACGUUUUUGACAAUUCAGGCCAAACAUGUCUAAAGGUCCAAUCUGCAGAAGAGAGGCUCUCUUUGGUUUUCCUCUCUUUUAUUAAUAUCUCAGCUGUUUAUUUGUAUUAUGAUUGUUUCCUUGCAUUGAAUGAUGGUCAAAACAAUCGUCUUUUGAUUUGUACUGCAAAAAUAGUUGCAAAGUUUACCAUUACAUUGCAAUAAUUGAAAGAGAAAGUGAACAAAGAGAGCCUCUCAAAUGCAGAUAGGACCUAUUGAAAUGUUUGGCCUGAAUUGAUGUGAUAGACGUCAUGUUUUUUUUUUCAAAAUUCUGGCAACACUUUCGAAAUUCUCUCACCAUCGUUUGUUUUGAUAUAUAUUGACUUCAACGCCGGUGGUGUACAAUCGAAGCGGUCGAAACCAAAAUCGGUCUACCUUGCCGGGCCGGAUGUAGCGGAUUAACGAUUCCUGAAUCGAAAGGAAUCGCCGAUGAAACAAAUCCUUCUUGAGCAGGUUGCUAUUGCAGUCGAAAAAUUUGGAUCGGUUUGGAAGCGACACCAGGGGAGGUUGCGCCGGAGAAAGACGCGUUAUUCUUUUGAAAGAUGAUGGGGUGAAACUGAUUUGACGACGAUGAUCGGAUACUCAAGAGUGUUUUCCUUUUGCGGUUCCAGAGAGGGUUUGAUUUGGCGUAGUACUUUUGAAGAUUCCUUGUCAAGCGAAAACAGCGAAACAUACUACGGGAAUUGACAACCGUGCAGGUGUUCCAUCAUGUGCGACCGCAACUAAUAGGAAUGGUCAAAGAGCAUCGAGCCAUGUAACAGGAAUCGUGCGAUCUAAUGUAAAGGCACAGGACAAGGGACACCUUAUACCCAAGCUUAUACCUCGAUACGGCGAAGAACGCCUCCUACCGCAGUUUUCACAGUUGUAUCGCCGCUCGUUUGCAUGGUAGUUGAGAUGAUCUUCGAAGCGGCACCAAAAUAAAAUGUUGAUGGCCAAGGACCAAAAUAGAAAUUCCUGGGUAUGGGAUACUUCCUGGGUAAGAUUCUUGUUUCUUCGGAACAAAAUUCAAAAGAUGCUAUGUACUAAUAAUUUAAUGUAAAAAAAAAUAUUCCUGCGCGGAAAAGUGUCCUAACCAUAGAUCUCCUCAAUAUGUAUUCUUCCGGUUCUGCUCGGCGCAUUUCAUCUCCCGGCGUCUGUGAUUUCUCGAGCAAUUUCUUUUUACAUAAAUCGCUCCCCCUGUGUGGGACGGCUUCUAUGUUGGUUUCGGACCCUUUUCGGAGGAAAUCCGAAGUAGACCUGGAUUGAUUUGGUGUUUCUUGGAAGAUUUGGUGUAAAAGCGUUCUCGGGUUCUGAUUCAGGGACCGUGCUCAUCCAUUCCGGUGCUUCCGUUGGUUUCAUCCCGCUUCUCUUAGGAGGUAUCGAGCAUAUCGAUCGAUACUAAAUAAGAAUCCGUAUUCCGAUCGAGUGCCAUUUGAACUCGGUAGUAACUGACCAGGGACAGUUGCGUUCAUUAGUCGAGGUGAUUGAAGUUGUGAGUGGUUGGCCAAUUUUUACUAUUUCCUCGUUGCAUCGCUCGUUUAAUGGUUUCAUCUCCUGGGACAUGUGAUUCCGAAGUUCUCGUGAUGUUUUCCCUUCGAAAAUUGUAAAUUGCAACUUGUGGUACCUUGUGGUAUGCACAUAAUAAAUUAUUGUAUUACUCUAUUACGUUUAGCGUGUAUGUUUACAUUGAGUAUCUGUCAUAUGUGGAGAUGUUGUAAUUGUUGUCUGGAGUGUGAAUCAUUGUAUGUAAUAUUGAAGUAUCGGUAAUAAAGUGUAUACAAAUAAUGAA